GAUGAAGAACGCAGCGAAAUGCGAUACGUAAUGUGAAUUGCAGAAUUCAGUGAAUCAUCGAGUCUUUGAACGCACAUUGCGCCCCCUGGUAUUCCGGGGGGCAUGCCUGUCCGAGCGUCAUUGCUGCCCUCAAGCACGGCUUGUGUGUUGGGCCCCCGCCCCCCGGUUCCCGGGGGGCGGGCCCGAAAGGCAGCGGCGGCACCGCGUCCGGUCCUCGAGCGUAUGGGGCUUCGUCACCCGCUCCGUAGGCCCGGCCGGCGCCCGCCGGCGACCCCCCUCAAUCUUUCCAGGUUGACCUCGGAUCAGGUAGGGAUACCCGCUGAACUUAAGCAUAUCAAUAAGCGGAGGA
rnacentral:misc_RNA from 1 species